rnacentral:rRNA from 1 species
GUGCAGCAGGCGAGAAACCUCCGCAAUACACGAAAGUGUGACGGGCCAUCCCGAGUGCCGUCCGCUGAGGACGGCUUUUCCCCAGUGUACAUAGCUGGGGGAAUAAGGAGAGGGCAAGCCUGGUGUCAGCCGCCGCGGUAAUACCAGCUCUCCGAGUGGUGGGGACGCUUAUUGGGCCUAAAGCAUCCGUAGCCGGCUAGGCAAGUCCUCCGUUAAAUCCAACGAUUCAAUCGUUGGGCUGCGGGGGAUACUGUCCAGCUUGGGGGCGGGAGAGGCCGACGGUAUUCCCCGGGGUAGGGGUGAAAUCCUAUAAUCCCGGGAGGACCACCAGUGGCGAAGGCUGUCGGCUAGAACGCGCCCGACGGUGAGGGAUGAAAGCUGGGGGGAGCGAACCGGGAUUAGAUA